rnacentral:lncRNA from 1 species
GGAAUGAAGAAAGAUUUCCAAAUCGAAAUAGAAAUUCAAAUGAACAAAGAUCAAAUUCUGUAACUUGCAAGUAUUCUUUGAAUCCGUUAAUUUUUUUUUUCUAAUUCUGAUCUCUUUUUUUUUUUGACAUUUGAUUUUCCCUCUUUUUUUUUUAGCCUUUGAUUUUCUCUCUUCUUUUUUUUUUGACUUUUUGAUCUUUUUUUUUUAUACCAUAAAGUGCGAAAUUACAAAUAAGAAUAGUAAUAACACAAGAAGCAAAACAAUGAAGAUGAAAGAAAAACAAUAAUUAUAGAUAUUGGCCAAAAAGAAGAAGAAGAGAAAAGAAAAAAAAUCUAAAAGAUAGCAAAUAAAUAGAUACACAAACCUCAAACUUGAGCCAAGCUCUGAUACCAAAUGAUGGAAAUCUUCAACUUAGCAACCAUAUACCCCGAUAGCUAAAGAGCUAUGAUACAUAUGGAAUGUAAAUUGACCCCCUCCAACGAUUUGAAACAAGAUGGAUCAUUCAAGAUUGAAGUUAGGAAAACUAUUCUAAUCACAUAAUCAAUGAAAAUUUGAUGAAGUAAUUAGAAUAGUACUUUGAUUCC